rnacentral:lncRNA from 1 species
GCCCAGCAGAGGCGUGCUCGUUGAUAAAUCCUUUCUGGCAUGACUCCCAUCAUGCAGCGCUGCUGCCCUGAGCUAAGUUUCUAAAUAUCAACACAAAAAAGAUUAAGAUAUCAGUAACAAAGUCAAUCAUGCAUAUUAGUGUAUUGUAGACUACUUUUAAAAAAAAAUCAGAGCCGGGCAGUGGUGGCACAAGCCUGUAAUCCCAGCACUUGGGAGGCAAAGGCAGGAGAAUUUCUGAGUUCGAGGCCAGCCUGGUCUACAAAGUGAGUUCCAGGAUAGCCAGGGUUACAUAGAGAAACCCUGUCUCAAAAAAAAAAAAAAAAAACUUCUUAUUGGGCAUCUUGAUACAACCCCCACCCCCCCUGGAUCCUUUUUUCUGUUUUAAAAGUCUGUAUUUGAGGACUGGGCACAGUAGUGCAUACCUUUAAUCCCAGCACUCUGGGAGGAAGGCACAGGUGAGUUUCCGUGACUUUGAUGGCCUUCUCAGCCACAUAGCAAGUUCCAAGACAGCCAGAGAUAAGUAGAGAGACCCUGUCCCAAAAAUAAAAUAAUAAAUAAAUAAUAAUAAAAAAACAGAAGGAAAUCUACUUUUGAACCGUAACUAUUCUGUAUAUUAAAUAUUUUGUAUUGACAUUUUAUAAAGCUUUCUAUCAUGUUAGUAUAAAAUUGUAACAUUUAUUAAUAUAUAUAAAUUAUGAAAAUAAUGAGUUUCAUUAUGUCACUUUCAUACGUGUCCAUACUCUAUUUUAAUUCUGUUCGCCUUGUUACCAUCUCUUGUCUCCUACUGAUACUGUUUCUCUUCCCUACUAACUCACCUCUACUUUCACAUCAUUUUUGUCUGCCUCCCCUCACCCCGAGACAGAAUCUCACUAUGAAGCUCUAGCUGUUCUGGAGAUCACGAUGUAGACCAGGCUGGCCUUGAACUCACCAAGAUCUGCCUGCCUCUGCUUCCCAAGUGCUUGGAUUAAAUGCAUGUAUACCAGGCUGCUUAUUGUUAUUAUUAUUAUUAUUAUUAUUAUUAUUAUUAUUAUUAUUAACAACAACCCAACAAGUUUUAGUAGGUUUGUGUACAGGAUCAUGGAUAAGUGUUUAUUUAUAGGGUCAUACCUUACCAGUGGCUAUACCACUGAAGUGUUCUCUCCCAUCAGCCAUCAGUGCAUAUAAAUUGUCACGGAAGGGUGGAUCCGAGGAGGGCCUCCCUACUCCCUGCCAGGACGUUGAUGGACUCCAUCUUCUGCAGACACGAAUGUCUGUCACGCCAGAGCUCAGGAUGUGCAUCCCGGCGGCUCCCCCAUUUCUCAGGUUCCGUUCUGCCCCUUCUUCUGCAGUGUUCCCUGUGUGUGUGUGUGUGGGGGGGGGGUGCUCUCGACAUCUUGUUCCUCGCUAAAGCAUUCAUCGGUGUCUUUUCUCAGUGCACUGACCAGUGUCUCUGGAAUAAUCACUGCAAGAAGGAAGCCUCUCUCACCAAAGCUGACAACAAUACUAACCUGAGGCAGAAACACAGUUGCUGAGUAGGCAGUUUGAUGGGCACAUCAUGUCCCUUAGCAAAACCGCAGCAGACAUUUCCGUACCAGAACCUGUGGCGGGUUUAGCGAGACAAUGAAGGGAUACGUUCUGCCAACGACAUUCAGUUGUUUGGAAAGGGCUCUUUGGUUGAGCCUUGGAUGAGACCACAGCCCCAGUCAACAUCUGGCGUGCAGCCCCAGGAGUGCCUGAGGCUGCUAAAUCAGCCAAGCCAACAGCAGCCACCUGACCUGGAGAUAUUAGAGAUAACCGACUGAGUAUUCUAGCCACUGACUAGAAGGUUAAACUCCAUCACCACAUUGCCUUGUGGUCUAGUGACCUACAUCACCACUGACUGGUGUGGUAAGCUCCCUUCCUGCCUGGCUGACAGUGACACACCCAACACUUGCUUCUCCAUGUUUUCUUCACUAACCAUCUCCUCUUCAGGUGUCUCUGUGGACCCGUGGGUGAAGUCCUAGAGAAGCAUGCACCAGCCUGAGAAGUGCACCUAUCUGUUCAAUAGACCUGAGAGUCAUUUUUCUGACACUGGGCAACACUGGGCAGUGAAGAGAGUCAGAUUCCCAUCACGCUCCGGGACAUGUUCCAUGAAGCCCCCUCAUCUGUCAUGUUCUCAGAGGUCAGUGAAACAGAAGAAUCAGAAAUGCUGAUUGGUCAGAGUGAUGGACUCAGAAAUGACUGGUCAAGGUUGUCACUGCAGUCCUGACAGAACUUCUGUAGACCAUUCCUUGAAGGUGCUGCUGGCCGAAGGAUCACCCUGCUCCCAGCAGCCUUGCUCUGGGGCUGGUCACUCGUUCCUUUCCAGUCAGACUGCUGCUCCACACUAGGUAGACUGAGCCAAACAUGAAUGUUGUUGGGAUUUACAAAUAAACUUGAACCUUUCAAAUUUUUGCCAGCUCCGGGAUCCUACCUUUUACAUCUUGAGUCUUCUUGAGUCUGAUAUCCAGAGCUACUGACUUCCUGAACUUGAGUGUCAAUCAGACAUCACGUGUACCCAGCUUUCCAAUGUACUCUCAGUGUCACCCCCUCUUCCUUUGCCCAAAUGCAGCGGUUCUCAACCUCCCCAGUUCUGCGACCUUUUAAUACAGUCCUUCCUG